rnacentral:rRNA from 1 species
UUAAAGUUGUUGCAGUUAAAAAGCUCGUAGUCGGAUUUUGGCAUCACGCCGUACUGUCUGCCGAUUGGUAUGCACGGUUUGGCGGGUGCUUCCUUCCGGAGGCUCGAUCCCUCCUUAACUGAAGGGUUCGUUGGUUCCGGUUCUUCUACUUUGAGAAAAUUAGAGUGUUCAAAGCAGGCCUAUGCUCUGAAUAGGUUAGCAUGGAAUAAUAGAAUAGGACCUUGGUUCUAUUCUGUUGGUUUCUAGGACCGAAGUAAUGAUUAAUAGGGACAGUUGGGGGCAUUCAUAUUCCAUUGUCAGAGGUGAAAUUCUUGGAUUAACGGAAGAUGAACUUCUGCGAAAGCAUCUGCCAAGGAUGUUUUCAUUGAUCAAGAACGAAAGUUAGGGGAUCGAAGACGAUCAGAUACCGUCGUAGUCUUAACCAUAAACUAUGCCGACUAGGGAUGUGGAGGUGUUAACUUUGUACGACCCUCCAUGCACCUUAUGAGAAAUCAAAGUCUAUGGGUUCCGGGGGGAGUAUGGUCGCAAGCCUGAAACUUAAAGGAAUU